AUACGGAGGGUGCGAGCGUUAAUCGGAAUUACUGGGCGUAAAGCGUGCGUAGGCGGUUUGGUCAGUCAGCCGUGAAAGCCCCGGGCUUAACCUGGGAAUGGCGGUUGAGACGGCUGGACUUGAGUGGGCUAGAGGAUCGUGGAAUUCCGGGUGUAGCGGUGAAAUGCGUAGAGAUCCGGAGGAACACCGAUGGCGAAGGCAGCGGUCUGGGGCCACACUGACGCUGAGGCACGACAGCGUGGGGAGCAAACAGGAUUAGAUACCCUGGUAGUCCACGCGGUAAACGAUGAGCACUAGACGUCGGGCGGGUGACCGUCCGGUGUCGCAGCUAACGCGCUAAGUGCUCCGCCUGGGGAGUACGGCCGCAAGGUUGAA
rnacentral:rRNA from 1 species